rnacentral:rRNA from 1 species
UACGUAGGGUGCAAGCGUUAAUCGGAAUUACUGGGCGUAAAGCGUGCGCAGGCGGUUAUGUAAGGCAGAUGUGAAAUGCCCGGGCUUAACCUGGGAACUGCAUUUGUGACUGCAUGGCUAGAGUUUGGCAGAGGGGGGUAGAAUUCCACGUGUAGCAGUGAAAUGCGUAGAUAUGUGGAGGAACACCGAUGGCGAAGGCAGCCCCCUGGGUCAAGACUGACGCUCAUGCACGAAAGCGUGGAGAGCAAACAGG